rnacentral:lncRNA from 1 species
GGCAACUGACAUUUAUUAUCAUUUGUUAUUAAUAUGAUCACCAUUUGUAGCAGUUUGAUUAUUUAAAUUAUUGUUUGCAACAUGUGUAAUCUUCAGCAUUCCUUUUUUAAAUUAUCUAUACAUGAGUCUUGUUUUAGUAUUUUCCUUCCUCCAAAAUCAUAAUUAAGAACGUAGCGUCUAUAGAAGAAAGAAGCCUAAAUCGUGAAAGUGAUUUCUCCCCUGGGAACAGAACCUGGCUGAAGUCUAAGUAGUCCUCUUUCCAAGAGGAUAUUACUAGAAGGACGUGUGAAAGUGAUAUUUAUACUGGGAAUAGACAAACUGGUAUGCCAAAGUCUAACGCAUUGAAUGCCACCCUCAUAAAGUCAUAAAAGGAAAAAACAUUAAUUAGAGAUAAUUACAACCCUAUCGAAAAAGUACAAGUUUUUGGAUGAGCAUUCUACUAUACUAAGCAAUAUUCCUUUUGUUUCAACAUUUUAAACAAUUUGCCUAAUCAGCAAAUUCUUUACAACCUAAGAGCAUUUUUGCCAGCAGUUCAGACUUAUGAAGAAAGGGGUCAUUUUUUACAUUAGUUGACAUUGGAAUUGAGACAUGAAGUUUAGUCAGGUAGGUAGUACUCACUAAGUAGAA